CCCCGUAAUCGGAAUGAGUACACUUUAAAUCCUUUAACAAGGAUCCAUUGGAGGGCAAGUCUGGUGCCAGCAGCCGCGGUAAUUCCAGCUCCAAUAGCGUAUAUUAAAGUUGUUGCGGUUAAAAAGCUCGUAGUUGGUUCUGCGUGCCGCGCUGUCGGUUCGCCGCCUGUCGGUGUAACUGGCAUGUUCGCGGCAUGUCCUGUCGGUGGUGAACAGGGUCCACGAUGCUGCAUUAGGCUUUUAAAGGCCGAUGUUAGCGUCGUGUGUACUUUUGUUGGCCGAUCUCUCCUACUUCGGUGCUCUUAAACGAGUGUCGAGGUAGGCCGACACGUUCACUUUGAACAAAUUAGAGUGCUUAAAGCAGGCUGAAAUAUCUGCCUGAAUAGUGGUGCAUGGAAUGAUAAAACAGGACCUCGGUUCUAUUUUGUUGGUUUUAGGAAUAUGAGGUAAUGAUCAAUGUGGACUGGCGGGGGCAUUCGUAUUGCGACGUUAGAGGUGAAAUUCUUGGAUCGUCGCAAGACGCACUAGAGCGAAAGCAUUUGCCAAGUAUGUCUUAAUUGAUCAAGAACGAAAGUUAGAGGUUCGAAGGCGAUUAGAUACCGCCCUAGUUCUAACCAUAAACGAUGCCAGCCAGCGAUCCGCCGAUGUUCCUUUAAUGACUCGGCGGGGAGCUUCUACCCGGGAAACCAAAGCUUUUGGGUUCCGGGGGAAGUAUGGUUGCAAAGCUGAAAC
rnacentral:rRNA from 1 species